rnacentral:lncRNA from 1 species
GUGGGACAAAAUUUACCUACCUUACGACAAGGUGGUGGGGAAGGACAACGAAAUGACUUCACACUACAUGGUAUGUUCUUGUGUCUUUAUAAUAAAUAUUAUUUCCUUGCAAAUCAAUUUUUUUAUUUCGUUUAAAUUAAUACAACUAUUUUUUAAUGUCGCUGUAGGCGCCUGAUUAUACACGGGAAAUUGAUGAUUGGUCAGAGGCGGACUUCUACACAUUAGAAUCGUUAGCGCGUGACCUCAAUAAUGUUCGAUCUUCUGAUUAGAUAUAGCCUGUGUGCUAAUGAGUUGGGAAAUCAAGACUAUCAUGUAAAUGGCAUCAUCAGUAUCAUCUUUGUACACGAACAAGUGUAUGACAGUGUUGAAGAUGCUUGUCUGUCAACUUUCUUCAAUAAAUGGAUCGUUUAUCAUU